CGGGUGAGUAACACGUGAGUAACCUGCCCUUAACUCUGGGAUAAGCCUGGGAAACUGGGUCUAAUACCGGAUAUGACUCCUCAUCGCAUGGUGGGGGGUGGAAAGCUUUAUUGUGGUUUUGGAUGGACUCGCGGCCUAUCAGCUUGUUGGUGAGGUAAUGGCUCACCAAGGCGACGACGGGUAGCCGGCCUGAGAGGGUGACCGGCCACACUGGGACUGAGACACGGCCCAGACUCCUACGGGAGGCAGCAGUGGGGAAUAUUGCACAAUGGGCGCAAGCCUGAUGCAGCGACGCCGCGUGAGGGAUGACGGCCUUCGGGUUGUAAACCUCUUUCAGUAGGGAAGAAGCGAAAGUGACGGUACCUGCAGAAGAAGCGCCGGCUAACUACGUGCCAGCAGCCGCGGUAAUACGUAGGGCGCAAGCGUUAUCCGGAAUUAUUGGGCGUAAAGAGCUCGUAGGCGGUUUGUCGCGUCUGCCGUGAAAGUCCGGGGCUCAACUCCGGAUCUGCGGUGGGUACGGGCAGACUAGAGUGAUGUAGGGGAGACU
rnacentral:rRNA from 1 species